CCCUUAGAUGUUCUGGGCCGCACGCGCGCUACACUGAUGCAUUCAUCGAGUUUACAACCUUGAUCGAUAGGUCUGGGUAAUCUUUUAAAUGUGCAUCGUGCUAGGGAUAGAUUAUUGCAAUUAUUAAUCUUGAACGAGGAAUUCCUAGUAAACGCAAGUCAUCAGCUUGCAUUGAUUACGUCCCUGCCCUUUGUACACACCGCCCGUCGCACCUACUGAUUGGAUGACUCGGUGAAUAAUUCGGACUGCAGCACUGCUUGGUCUCCAGGCUUUGCAGCGGAAAGUUUAGUGAACCUUAUCACUUAGAGGAAGGAGAANUCGUAACA
rnacentral:rRNA from 1 species